GGAAGGAGGGAACUGUACCUUCAGCCUGAGAUCUCUCAUCAGGGUGCAGAGGCUGAUGGGGAGCCACCAGCUUAGCCUCUCAGUUGCCAAACGAAGUAGGAACAACAAGAGAACUUUCAGCCAAGUGUCUCUCCACUAUUCCUCUUCAGCAAAGAUACUCAGAGUCCUACACCAAACUGGACACUCUACUUAAUGGUCAUCACUGGACCAACAAUUAAAAACUCAGGACCCAACAACCCAGAGGGAGAACACCCAUGGGUGUGAGAGGGUUCCUCUGUGUAGCCCAGGUUGUCCUGGAAUUCCCUCAUGCAGACCAGGCCGCCCUUGGCUUGAUCUCCAACUCAGAGUUCCAACCGUUUCCACCUCCUGAGUGCUGGGAUUUAAAGGGUCCUAAUAGCACCUCCCACCACCCCCACCCCACCCCUCCCCCAUCUCCAGAUACACUGGUCCUUACUGCCAGACUAUCAGAAGUCCAGCACUUACUCACAUAGAAGCCACUGAUGGUCUAUGAAGUGUCCCGUCAGGAAUUUUUUCCUAAACGGUCAGGAACAAACCAAGGAUUUUCACACCGUGUUUACCCCUAUUUUUGGAGAUCUUAGCCAGUGCAACUAAGCAAGAAAAAAGAAAUGAUGGUCAUCUGGAGUGGAAAAGCACAAACGAAAAUAUUUAAACACGACUGCUGAUCAAGCCUGAUGACCUCAAGUCCAUCCCUGGGGCCCACGUCAAAAUGCAGGAUGCUGCGGUACUCCAACAGUCUGGCAAGGAGAACAAAGGUAGAGACCAGAGGAUUACACAGAAUUCGCAGAAUUCUAGCCUGCUAGCCUGGCAUGCAUAACACAGGAAAACUCACCCUGCCUCAAAGAGGUGGAAGGACAGAACUGCUCCUGGAGGCUGUCAUGUGACCUCCACAAGCACGUGCAGUCCCACACGAGUACUAAUAAUUAAUUAAUUAA